GCGUGUUUGCAUACAUGUGUGGGCGUGUCCCCUAUAACCUGGGGUAGCCUCGGAAGAAGAAAAGGCUUGUGGUAGUGUGCGCAUAUGCCCCAAAUAACCCCGGGUAGCUUAGUCAGUCCCCUAACGUUGCGAGAGGAGCGUCAUGGAGGAAGUCUUCGCCGUCAUGAACUUACAACAACAACAACAACAACAACAACAGCCCCACGCUGCCGCUGCAACUCUUCAUGCUGACGAUGUUGACGAUCAGAUAAUGGGUCAAGCCGCAUUAGAAGUUGAAGCCAUGGAUAACACAUCCCAAGCUGAAGCCGUGGAUAACACAUCACAUCCCAGAAACGGAGCGGAUGUUGGUGGUGGUGAGGUGGGGGAUGUUCCAGAAACUCCCAAGUCUACCGGUGAACAUAUCACGGGCGAGUCAUUGGGCAACAACAACCGCGGCGCGUUGGGAGGUGUCGGUAAAAUGGGGCGGCGUGUGCUGAGGGAAGGAUGUGAUACCUCCAUUACCAGUGUCUCAUCUGAAGAACGACCCACCGGACAGCGUAACGCAUAUCCACGGCAACAACAACAGACACGCUUCGGUGAUGGUGUGUCUUG